rnacentral:rRNA from 1 species
CCUACGGGUGGCUGCAGUGAGGAAUAUUGGUCAAUGGCCGGAAGCCUGAACCAGCCAAGCCGCGUGAAGGAUGGAUGUCCCAUGCAUUGUAAACUUCUUUUGUCAAGGGACAAUAUCCGGCACGAGUACCUUGCCGAGUGUACUUUACGAAUAAGCAUCGGCUAACUCCGUGCCAGCAGCCGCGGUAAUACGGAGGAUGCGAGCGUUAUCCGGAUUUAUUGGGGUUAAAGGGAACGUAGGCGGUCUUUUAAGUCUGUUGUUAAAGCUUUCGGCUUAACCGGAGUAACGCAUUGGAUACUGGGAGGCUUGAGUGCAGAAGAGGUGGGUGGAACUAGAUGUGUAGCGGUGAAAUGCGUAGAUAUAUGGAAGAACACCGGUAGCGAAAGCAGCUCUCUAGACUGUAACUGACGCUGAGGUUCGAGAGCGUGGGUAGCAAACAGGAUUAGAUACCCGUGUAGUC